CCGCAAAGAAAUGGUCCAAGGAAACGUUUCUCUGAAACUAACUAAUAUAACUCAAGAGGAUGCAGGAAAUUACACCUGCAAAGUUUUAAAACUUAAAGCUCAAGUUACCCUGAAUGUUGGUAAAGUAGAUCCUGGUCACCAAGAGGAGGAUUUA